CCCAGCCGAUGAUGGUUCGUUAUCCCUGUCUGAGUUUCUUGCCUGAGGGAAAACCAUGGUCUGAGGCUGGG